GUGUCAGCAGCCGCGGUAAUACGUAGGUGGCAAGCGUUGUCCGGAUUUACUGGGCGUAAAGGAUGCGUAGGCGGAUAUUUAAGUCAGAUGUGAAAUACCCGAGCUUAACUUGGGUGCUGCAUUUGAAACUGGAUAUCUAGAGUGUGGGAGAGGAAAGUGGAAUUCCUAGUGUAGCGGUGAAAUGCGUAGAGAUUAGGAAGAACACCAGUGGCGAAGGCGACUUUCUGGACCAUAACUGACGCUGAGGCAUGAAAGCGUGGGGAGCAAACAGGAUUAGAUACCCUGGUAGUCCACGCCGUAAACGAUGGGUACUAGGUGUAGGGGGUAUCGACUCCCUCUGUGCCGCAGUUAACACAAUAAGUACCCCGCCUGGGGAGUACGGUCGCAAGAUUAAA
rnacentral:rRNA from 1 species